UGUCUGCAACAGUGGCUGAUGUAGAGAAGACCCUCACCCUACCCUCGACUCCUCGUCUAAUACUGCUCGGUGGAACAGAGCGUGUGACUGCUGGACGCUGGAUGAUCAGCCUUGAGGGUCAUAUCAUGCUACUCUGUUUUCAGUGUACUACAUCUGCAAUCUACAGUACCAAGAGGAGGCUGCCUGUACACUUGAAUUCAUUUAAAGGCGCUUCAUUGGGAUCAACCCAGAAAAAGGGACCAAGGCCAGCGGGGGCAAGAUUGUCUCCAAGAAGACAGGGAGAGUCGUUCAGAAGAGUCACAGUCAACCCCCGUGUGUCCUCUCUUCUGAAGAACCUCAUAGACUUUGAGUGGGAUUUC